rnacentral:lncRNA from 1 species
CAACUUCCAACAGAGCAAUAUAAAGUCCAGUACGAUUGUUUCCAGAAUUAAUGUUUUAGAGGGAGAAGAAACACUUUCUUAAACAAAAAUCGAAUGAUAUAAAUUAAAAAACUAUUUCCGCACACUUCUUUUAAUUUUUAUAAGUAUCUUUGAAGAAUAAAUUAAGAAUUAUCAUACACAAACCUAAGAUGAAUGAACACGAUAAUCUUUUCUCUUAAAGAUAUCUAUAAGUAGCAACACGCGACGAGAUGAACAUCAAAUUCAAUAAUUUAUCAUGUACAAACUUCAUUUAUUUAAACACCAAUAAUGUAUGGAUGUAGAUUUGUAGUUCAAGGUAGAUAAAUGGACCAUUCCUUCUCUAUCAAUAUUUAGGUCAUGUGUGGAACACAAAAACAGGAAGGAGAAGGUAACCAUGUAAAUGUAAUCAGAUCACACCAGUACAUAGGUGUUAGUUAUAAAUCACACCCUUAUAUUUAAAGCCUUUCUCCUACCUUCUAACAGCGUCACGUCGAUCGAUCACAUUGCGAUCACUAGUGUCCAUCUUCAUUAAUAGGACAGUUAUAACCAUUUAUUUGGUUUCAAUCUCGAGUUUUUGUUUUCAUAGGCUUUUAACUUUUUAUUAACAUCUCCUACGUUUCACGACUAAGUUCGAAUCUUCUGCACCUAAAUUUGUCUGUAAUCUCUCUCUGGCUUCUCUUAGCUUUUGACACGUGGCCACACGAACUUCUGUGGCCUGUCUUCCUCGGCAAAUCCAAACAACCCGACCAAGAAGACGACGCCGGCGACGAAAAAAAGGAAACCGAUACUCAGAUGCAGGAGGUCGAGUUCUCAGGCAAUCAGCUGGUAUUGCUCCAAUCUCCAAUCGCAUCUGGUUGAGAGUUCAGGCAAAAAUCCGACAUUUCUGAUCAGAUUUGCAAUUUCAGGUCAGUUUUCUUAUCUGGGGUUUUCGAAUUCAAUUUUCUCAUCUGGGUGGCAUGCAACGCUUCCACUCAAUUCGUUUUAGCUACAUCUUUUGUAUAAAAAAUGUAAAAAAGAUGCCUACUUUUUGUAGAAUUACUCCCUUAUAAAAAAGGUCAGUGCUUUCUAGUUAUUUUGCAGGGAUUUUUCUAGUUAUUUGGAAUUCGAGCUUAAGGAAAUAGAAUUCAUACUUACUUAAUAGUUAACACUUAGAGGAGUUCUUGGUUCUUUAUUUUGUUCAGUAAUGUUAAAAAAACUAAAUUUGUAAACAAAGUUUUAA